GGGGUUGUGGCUCAGUGGUAGAGCGUUUGCCUUGCAUGCAUGAGGCCCUGGGUUCGAUCCUCAGCACCA
rnacentral:tRNA from 1 species